GCUAAACCUACACAAUUUUAACAUAGACACAUAUACCUAGGACAUAUUUGAAUUUGAAAACAAGAGAAAUCUCACUGUAUCUUUCCUGGAAAAAUAUUUUAUAAAUAAAUAAUAUACACCCCCACCUUUAGCAGUACGAUACCCACUGGAAAUGACAAUAUAUGAAUAACAGAACACAAAACACAGCCACAACAGGAGGUCUUAUUCCAAAGGAUUUAACAUUGUAUGGGUAUACCGAGAUACCCCAUACACCUCCAGUUUGAAAACCACCAAUGGGCUCCAACCUACUAAAUUAAACCAUGUGAAUUUUGUUACCGAACUUCAAACAUACCAGCUAGCAAUCCUACCUACCCCCAAUUUCUAAUCCAGGCCUGCCCCAGCUCAGAGCUUGACUUUUCAAGACACCUGAGCGCCCCAAGCCCGCAAAACCAAUGCACGCUGCAAGCCUUCCUGAAAACCCAUAUUAAAGAAAUCGUUCCCUAUGUCGGAAAGGUGCACCCCAUCAUGCCUAAAAUAACCAGUAAGCAUGGUGUCUAACUUACAGUGCCGUACAACUACUCCCCCCAUACAUCUAACGAAAACGGACAACAGCUUGUUAAUCUUCCCUCGACACUUGGUCACUGCCACAGGAUCAAGAGCAUGACGCCAAUGCAAACGGGGCACCAUCUCUGACCAAAUUAUCACUACACCCGGAGCAAGACCCUUCAACCUAUCCAGAUCACGCUUCAUACAUUGCACCAAGUCCCUCUGAGGCACUUGACCUAAAUCAUUCCUCCCAGCGUGGAUUAAAAGAAAAUCUGGUAACUGUCCGGAACCUAGCAGCCUGAAAAUCUUAAAAGAAA